GUGGAGUAGGAGAGGUCUGUCCUGGGUAGUGUAACACUGUGGAGUAGUAGAGUCCUGUCCUGGGUAGUGUAACACUGUGGAGUAGGAGAGUCCUGUCCUGGGUAGUGUAACACUGUGGAGUAGGAGAGGUCUGUCCUGGGUAGUGUAACACUGUGGAGUAGUAGAGUCCUGUCCUGGGUAGUGUGACACUGUGGAGUAGGAGAGUCCUGUCCUGGGUAGUGUGACACUGUGGAGUAGUAGAGUCCUGUCCUGGGUAGUUUGACACUGUGGAGUAGGAGAGGUCUGUCCUGGGUAGUGUGACACUGUGGAGUAGUAGAGUCCUGUCCUGGGUAGUGUGACACUGUGGAGUAGUAGAGUCCUGUCCUGGGUAGUGUGACACUGUGGAGUAGGAGAGUCCUGUCCUGGGUAGUGUGACACUGUGGAGUAGGAGAGGUCUGUCCUGGGUACUGUAACACUGUGGAGUAGGAGAGGUCUGUCCUGGGUACUGUAACACUGUGGAGUAGUAGAGUCCUGUCCUGGGUAGUUUGACACUGUGGAGUAGUAGAUGUCUGUGACGGUGUGUUCAUUCCUCUGUCAAACGCACAGACUGACCAGACUGUCUCACUGGAGCCCAGCUUAACAUAGAGGAGUGGGAGGAGAGCAGCACUCAGCUGGGCUGGGUACUAUGACUCACACACACACACACACACACACACACACACACACACACACACACACACACACACACACACACA